UCGCGCAAGGCCUCCAACCCCCAAAAAGCCUCGGGCGCGAGGUGCGUGAGCUGGUUGCCCCUGAGCGAGAGUAGGCCAAGGCGCGGCAGGUGCUGGAAGACGCGCGGCCCGAGGUGCUGCAGGCUGUUGGCCGAGAGGAUGAGGGUGGAGAGAGAGCGCAGCGGUGCGAAGGUGGCCGCGUGGCGUAGGGAGGGCUGCAGCUCGUUGGCAGAGAGGUUGAGGAAGCGCAGCUUCCCCAGAUGGGCGAAGGCGUUCUUGCCCAGAAAACGGAUCCGGUUGGACUCCAGAUGUAGGUAGAGCAAGUUACCCAAGGGGGCAAAGACGGCGUCCGGCAGCGCCCCCAGGGCGUUCCCGUCCAGCCGCAGCUUGACCAGGCUCUCCAGUCCCUCGAAGGAGCCUCGGCUGAGGCGGCUGAUCUCGUUCCCGUUGGCGUAGAGGAUGCGCAGCUUGCGCAGCGGCGCCAGCGUGCCCGGGGCGAGCGCCUGCAGGAGGUUGUUGCCCAGGUAGAGCUCCUCCAGCCGCGAGAGCUUCUCGAAGGUCUUGGGGUGCAGAGAACGGAUCUGGUUGUACUGCAGGUCCAGCCGUCUGAGCUGCCCCAGGCGGUGGAAGUCGAAGGCCGUGAUGUUGGUUAUGAAGUUGCCGCCGAGGCUGUAGAUUAUCCUGCAAGGACUCAAUACUUCUAACUACUAUGCUAAAUUGCUUCUUGAAGGUCUUGGUGUCAUCACACAGAAGAGUGCAUUAAAAAAAAAAAUGGAGCCUUAAAAUAAAAACAUAUUAACACUAAGGUACCAUGUAUUCUUCCGUACCCUGAUGUUUUUCACUUAAGUAAUUUUGGAGGUUUUCCCAGAACAGUACAUGUAGAUCAAGCUCAUUUUCAAUGCUGCAUGGUAUUCCAGGAUGGAGAUCUGGGGAGACAGAGUGGUAAGAAGAAUGGAAAAGAUCUUUCCUGAUUGAUAUUAUUGUGGUCAGUCUUCUCCAGACUCGGCAGAUAUUUUAAGGUAACUCUCUUAUGUGGGGAUCCUUCAGAAACCCACCGAUGAAAGAAGACACUUUCGUUAAAAUAGACUUCCGGAUUUCCGUCAGUGACAGGCUUCUGGAGGGGCAGAGCCAAGUGGCAGCCCUUAACAGCCAGCAGCAAGGUGGGUGCAGUUACUAUAAUGGGCAGAGUGUCUGCAGCAGCAGAGUAUUUCAGCACACGA